rnacentral:lncRNA from 1 species
GGACAUUCUGCAUCCUGUGGCCAGGACUCCCUGCCACACCUUCCCCCAUCAGUUGUCAGAAAUGGAAACAUUCCAUAUAACCCAGGACUAAAUAUAGGGUUCUGGGCCUGGUGAGAGCACAUGGUCUACAUAUACAAGACAGAAAAAAGAGACAGACGUCUUGGGACACUGCCAUUUCCUGAGGGCAUAUAUAUCAGGAUGAUAAAACCAGCAGGUGAUAAUUAGUACGGGUAAAAGGUGGGACCCCUCCACUCACCUGUACAGGGUCCAUGCGCAUCUCUGCUACUGCCAUGGGGCCCUGGGGAGAGAAGGAAGCCACGAGAAGUGGACAGCAGUGGUAGGAUCCUACAGCAGAGCUGGACCUCCACCCCUGCCAAGCCCUGGUGUAGUGGGAGCUCAGCCUGAUGGUCUAAGCUCAGUUCCUCAGAAAACAGUACUGUCUCUUACCAGCGGGGAGAAGGACUGAGCCUCAGGAAAAAGAAAAUGCUGCGUAAGAUAUGAAUGCUUCCAACCUCACAGGGCUCAUCUUGGUAUCUAACGUAAGGAAGACACAGCGUGUAUCAGCUAUGACUG